GUCUACGGCCAUACCACCCUGAACGCGCCCGAUCUCGUCUGAUCUCGGAAGCUAAGCAGGGUCGGGCCUGGUUAGUACUUGGAUGCGAGAAAAUUCUCUAAAAUUAAUGCACUAAUCU
rnacentral:rRNA from 1 species